GAUGAACGCUGGCGGCGUGCCUAAUACAUGCAAGUCGAGCGAACAGACGAGGAGCUUGCUCCUCUGACGUUCGCGGCGGACGGGUGAGUAACACGUGGAUAACCUACCUAUAAGACUGGGAUAACUUCGGGAAACCGGAGCUAAUACCGGAUAAUAUAUUGAACCGCAUGGUUCAAUAGUGAAAGACGGUUUUGCUUUCACUUAUAGAUGGAUCCGCGCCGCAUUAGCUAGUUGGUAAGGUAACGGCUUACCAAGGCGACGAUGCGUAGCCGACCUGCGAGGGUGAUCGGCCACACUGGAACUGAGACACGGUCCAGACUCCUACGGGAGGCAGCAGUAGGGAAUCUUCCGCAAUGGGCGAAAGCCUGACGGAGCAACGCCGCGUGAGUGAUGAAGGUCUUCGGAUCGUAAAGCUCUGUUAUUAGGGAAGAAGAAAUGUAUAAGUAACUAUGCACGUCUUGACGGUACCUAAUCAGAAAGCCACGGCUAACUACGUG
rnacentral:rRNA from 1 species